GAUGAAGAACGUAGCGAAAUGCGAUAAGUAAUGUGAAUUGCAGAAUUCAGUGAAUCAUCGAAUCUUUGAACGCACAUUGCGCCCGGUAGUAUUCUGCCGGGCAUGCCUGCUCGAGCGUCAUUUCAACCAUCAAGCCCCAGCGCUUGUGUUGGGGGCCUGCGGCUGCCGCAGCCCCCUAAAAGCAGUGGCGGGCUCGCUAUCACACCGAGUGCAGUAGUUCAUCUUCUCUCCGGUCUUGUGAGGCGGGUUCCGACCGUGAAACACCCCACUACAUUCAAGGUUGACCUCGGAUCAGGUAGGAAUACCCGCUGAACUUAAGCAUAUCAAUAAGCGGAGGA
rnacentral:misc_RNA from 1 species